UGCAGAUGGCACAGUGAGGCC
rnacentral:miRNA from 1 species